UUAUAUAAUUAACAUGACUAAAUUAUUAUAAAACGGGUCGGGUUUGUAUGAACCCGGCCCACUGAGAAAAGUCCGCCUGCCAAGUGCCAACAAGUUCUUCCUCUUAUCCCUUUUUGAAAACGUAAUAAUUUCGACGCCCAGUGGUCAUUUCAUCGUCGUCUUCCUUCUUCAUCGUUCCGUUACCAACACCGCAAUCUCGACGAACCACCCUGUUGUGUCUCGGAUCGCCUUUCUCUAUCGUUUUGUCUUCCGGUCCGAUUUUCCGGAGGUUGCCUCGAUCCGCCAGGAUCGAAGAUGUCGAUGGCUGCUUCCGCCAUUUCCUUCCUCAAUCUCCGUGGCGAUGUUCUCAUCAAUCGCCUCGACCGAGAUGAUGUUGGGGGAAAUAUGGUGGAUGCAUUUCGAACUUAGGUAUUUGCCCUGUUCGACAGAUUGGCGGCUGCCCUUUUCUCUAUAUGCGAAUCAGCAACGUCUACAUUGUAAUUGUCUUCAGAUGUAGCUUGUGCUUUCAAAUUCGUUGUUGAGGCCGCUGCGUGUGUUUAAAUCUUACUUCGGUGGAGAUUUUGAAUGAAAAUGCUAUACGAAAUAACUUUCAUCAUAUCCAGCAUUCGAUCGUUUCAACCAAGGCCGCACUUAGUCACUCUGUUGUUCUUCUACCACUCCAAGUGAUCAUUUUCCGCGGCGUAGUUUCAGAGUUUGUGGACUUUGGCUACCCCCAAAAUCUCUCCCCCUGAAAUUUCGAAACUUCAUAUUAGUGAAGAAGGGAAGAAGGUGGGCGGUCGCCAUUUUCGUCGAAGCCUACAUACAGACAAACCUGUUCCAAACGCAACAUUACAAGCUACUGGUGCUGUUGGAUGGCGAAGAGAGUGACAAUUCUAUAGAAAGAAUGAGGUGUGAGAUAAAGAAUGGAUAUACAGCACAGUGGAGUUCGAUGCGUAAACAAAGCCGGAUCGUAUAAAAUCAGGUGACAUAGCUCUCCCUUCUCUCUCUCUGAGUCCGCUUCCGCUACAGGGAGAGUUGUUAGCUCACACGCUUUGGUUUACAACUCAAAGAAGCUUGCAUUUUCUCGGCAUCCAAACAGGAAAAAGAAAAGGAUCCGUCCCAACAAACUCACAAAAAAGGGGAAGAAAUCCUCUCGGUUGGGUCGGUCAUGGAUUCGAGGGAAGUUCCUCCGCAUCUGCAGCCGCCCCCCGCCAUGUUAAUGCCCCACCACACCUCCUUCCACAGAAACCCUAACGCCAUGAUCGGACCUGCUUCCACAUCUCCCUCCAUCCAUCACUCCUCCGCCGCCGGAGCCCGCCUUCCCUUCGGCUCUCUCCAGCCUCCUCCUCCUCCUCCGCCGCAGAUGGAGCAGAAGGUGCUUGAUUCUCUCGGAUUCGACGGAUCGCCUUCCUCCGCCUCCGCGCAACAGUCGAUGCGAUUUGGAAUCGAACAGCAGGCGAAGAAGAAGCGUGGUCGGCCGAGGAAGUACGCUCCCGAUGGCAACAUUGCCCUCGGUUUGGCUCCCACUUCUCCUCUCCCUUCUGCUUCCAGUUCCUACGGCGGCGCUGACGCCAUCUCAGGUGGUGAUGGCGGCGGAGCCAACGCCAACUCCGCCGAUCCCCCUGUCAAGCGCAACAGGGGACGUCCUCCUGGCUCCGGCAAGAAGCAGCUCGAGGCAUUAGGAGGGAUAGGCUUUAUGCCUCAUGUAAUCGAGGUCAAUACAGGGGAGGAUAUAGCAUCAAAGGUUAUGGCUUUCUCACAAGAAGGGCCACGGUCCAUCUGUAUUCUCUCUGCUAAUGGCGCUGUUAGUAGCGUGACCCUUAGCCAGGCUACCAGUUCUAGCGGCGUUGUUACAUAUGAGGGCCAAUUCGAAAUCGUAUCGAUGUCAGGGUCGUUCUUGAAUUCAGAAAGCAAUGGUAACGCAAACAGAACAGGCAUCCUGAGUGUAGCGCUAGCUGGCAGUGAUGGCCGGAUGAUGGGUGGUGUCGUUGCCGGAAUGCUAGUAGCUGGAUCAAAAGUCGAGGUGAUAGUGGGGAGCUUUGUGACGGACGGAAAGAAACAGAAACAGAGCGGGAAUGGAAGAGCAUCAAACCUGGAAGCAGCAUCAGGAGGAGGAAACAUGAUGAUGAACUUUGGCGGGGGAAUACUGCAGCAGCAGCAGCAGGAGAGGAGUCCGAUGAGAUCGACGGAUUCAUCGGAGGAGAAUGAGAAUGAGAGCAGCUCCCCUUCCUUCAGAGCACUCAGAAACAACAACAACAGCAGCAGCAGUGUUAUGUUCGGUGGCGGUGGAAGUGGAAACAACAACUCAGGAGCUCAAACUGUCAUGCCUCAGCAGCAGCAGCAGCAGCAGCAGCAGCAGCAGCACCCUCUUCAUCAUUCUAUGUUCCACCAUCUCUGGGGCCAAAAUCCUCAAUAAAUUUUCGCACUUUAUUCAAGUCAUGUUUGUUUCCAACACGCUUCCGAGCUUAAUCAAGUAGGUUUAAGCUUCUUUUUUUCAAAUAUUUAUUUUUUGAGGAUUUUCUAGCUUUGUUUUAAGAUUGCAGUAGAGAUUUAGUGGUGAAUCAGUUGCUGUUCUUUCAGUGGGAGGGUUUUGUUCCAUAUAAUCAAUCCUCCAUUAGUUUAUUGGCAAUCUUUCCUUCUGCACUUGUCGGGUUCCCUCGACUCCCUCCCAUGUGUGAUUGAAGAGACAAAAAACAAAAGGACAGUGAAUCUCAAUCCAGUGUGGGAUGGACAUUGAAAGCAGAACAAGGGUCCUGUAUGUUACACGUUGGACUCUCUUACAAAGUACAAUACAGUCUACUCACAUACAAAGGUUAUGGCUCUGUCAAGGUUA